ensembl:lncRNA
UUAGAGUGGUGGUUCUACAGGCAUUGGAAGUUGGAACAAGUGCUUGCUUCUCUUUAAAAAUAAAAAUACUAGCUAUUCAAGAGCCCUUGAUGGACUAGCUGUUGUGAAAUUGGCAUGCUGCUACCUCGACAGGGUUUCUUUCUUAUCAGAGUGUAGACUAGACCCUCAAUAACCUGAAGUAGGCUAGGUUACAGCAGACUGUUUCAUGGACUCACGGACAGAGCUAUGGUUACACUGAUUGACCAUUAAAUACAAAAUUAUAGUUUUAACCAUGUUUUGAGGCAAUACAAACAAACACGUUUAUAUUUUGGGCUCUGAUGAAGCAUCUGGUGUGUGUAUAUAUAUAUAUAUAUAUAUAUAUUCUUCAAGAAUCAUUGGGUAUAUAUUAUUAAUGUACUGUAGCAACUGCAGAUUUCCCCUUUAAAUGAAUUCAGGACCUUAAUUCAGAGCUUGGUUGUGGAGGAAUGCAAUUGUUUUGGAUUGUUUUAUUUUCAUUGUGUUUUUUCAAAAUCAUUUUGUAAUGUAUUGCUUUCUAUGUUUUAUUUUUCAUAUGUUAUUUCUUGAUUUUGUGUUGCCUUUCAGGAUAUAGGUCUCAUUUGAUGGCGCUGAUAGACAUGGCCGUUCUGUUUCUGGCUCCUAAGCAACUUUGUUACAAGCAUUUCGCUACACCCACAAUAACAUUGUUAAAUAUGUGUAUGCCGACCAAUAAAAUGUGAUUUGAUUUGGAAAAGACAUUAACUAAUCUCAACAUGACAUAUCCCUCAGCCCUAGCAAGCCUCAGUGUGUCUUCAUGGCCUGGGCUAAUGUGACCUGCUACUGGACACCUGGACAGGGCUCUCCCCCAGACACACGCUACACACUGCAGGUCAAUAUGUCUCUCUCUCUCCUCAUUGAAGCUGCCCACCCCAGUCCUCCCAAGCUCCAGUCUGUCAGUGGUGAAAGGCAGACCCAGAUGCCUGAAGCUGCAGUGGACUACAAAUUCCAACUUCCCUGUGUCCAAGAACCGUAUCUCCUCUGGUGCUCUGGUCUACUAGCUGCUGGACAGCACAAAGGAGCAGGUGUGUGGCCCACUGUCAUCUCCAAUCUGUCAGUUACUGUAGGACUAUAUAAUGUAUACAGUGUGAUGUGUAUAAUAUGUACAAUGCCUUAAGAAAAUAUUAAUACCCCUUGACAUAUUCCACAUUUUGUUGUGUUACUCAUUUCAAACGGGAUUAAAAGUUAACCUGUUUUUGGAAAUGUUUGCAAAUGUAUUGAAAAUUAAAUACAGAAAUAUCUCAUUUACGUAAGUAUUCACACCCCUGAUUCAAUACAUGUUAGAAUCACCUUUGGCCUCGUUUACAUCUGUGAGUCUUUCUAGGUAAGUCUAAGAGCUUUGCACACCUGGAUUGUAUAAUAUUUGCACAAUAUUCUUUUACAUUUUUUUGAAGCUCUGUCAUGUUGGUUGUUGAUCAUUGCUAGACAGCCAUUUUCAAGUCUUGCCAUUGAUUUAAGGCAAUUUAGGUCAAAACUGUAACUAGGCCACUCAGGAACAUUAAUUGUUGUCUUGGUAAGCAUCUCCCAGUGUCUGUUGGAAAGCAGACUGAACCAGAUUUUCCUCUAGGAUUUUGUCUGUGCUUAGCUCUAUUCUGUUUCUUUUUAUCCUGAAAUACUCAAUAGUCAUGCCAAUGACAAGCAUACCCAUAACAUGAUGAAGUCACCACCAUGCUUGAAAAUAUAAGAGUGGUACUCAGUGAUGUGUUGUUUGAUUUGCCCCAAACAUAACGCUAUGUAUUCAGGACAUAAAGUUAAUUUCUUUGCCACAUUUUUUGCUGUUUUACUUUAGUGCCUUGUUGCAAACAGGAUGAAUGUUUUGGAGUAUUUUUUAUUCUGUACAGAUUUUCUUUUCACUCUGUCAAUUAGGUUAGUAUUGUGGAUAACUACAAUAUUGUUGAUCCAUCCUCAGUUUUCUCCUAUCACAGCCAUUAAACUAACUGUUUUAAAGUCAACCAUUGGACUCAUGGUGAAAUCCCUUAGUGGUUUUCUUCCUCUCCAGCAACUGAGUUACAAAGGACGCCUGUAUCUUUUUAGUGACUGGGUAUAUUGAUACACCAUCCAAAGUGUAAUUAAUACCUUCACCAUGCUCAAAGG